GGAAGCUGAAACUUUUUCCACAAUUAAAUUCGUUCAAAAUACAGCAUCCAUUUCAUCUCCCAGUAUUUAAAUUGAGACAGGGUACAAAAUAGCAAGAUGGCAUAUUGAUCUUAACUUCCCUUCUUCAAGAGCUCUUAAUUCUUGUACAUUGGCCUCAAAUCCUUCUUACUCUUAAAUAUUUAUCAUUUAUUUAUUUAUUUUGAUUUAGGUUUCAAAGGGCUGCUUCACCACUCUUAUGUGAAAAACAGGAAGGAAAUAAUUGGUUUUUAUGCUAAAGAAGAAGAAACCUUGAGAAAAUAAAUAGCAACUGCUGUUUUCUGUCCUCAGGUUGUAUACCAUUCAACAAAACAAAACAACAAAACAAAACAGAUAAAAACAACAACAACAACAAAAUGAAAGAAGAAAUAUUCUGGUGGGGCUUCAGUAAUCCAUAUUUUAAAAAUUACAAGUGUCACGGGUAA
rnacentral:lncRNA from 1 species